rnacentral:rRNA from 1 species
GUGGGGAAUCUUGCGCAAUGGGCGAAAGCCUGACGCAGCCAUGCCGCGUGAAUGAUGAAGGUCUUAGGAUUGUAAAAUUCUUUCACCGGGGACGAUAAUGACGGUACCCGGAGAAGAAGCUCCGGCUAACUUCGUGCCAGCAGCCGCGGUAAUACGAAGGGGGCUAGCGUUGCUCGGAAUUACUGGGCGUAAAGGGCGCGUAGGCGGACAGCUUAGUCAGAGGUGAAAGCCCAGGGCUCAACCUUGGAAUUGCCUUUGAUACUGGCUGUGUUGAGUGUGGGAGGGGUGAGUGGAACUCCGAGUGUAGAGGUGAAAUUCGUAGAUAUUCGGAAGAACACCAGUGGCGAAGGCGACUCACUGGCCCAAUACUGACGCUGAGGCGCGAAAGCGUGGGGAGCAAACAGGAUUAGAUACCCUAGUAGUCC